rnacentral:misc_RNA from 1 species
AACUUUUAAACCUCAGUUUAUGUUGCAGAACUGUUAAAAUCAAUUCUUUCUAUUGCUUAUUUUUCAUACGAGAAUUUUUAUUUCAUAUGCAUUAAUAUAAACUAAAUGAGCUUUUUUCCCCCUUUCAGUUGUAGCUUGAAACAUUUUUAUGGGCAAUGGACUCCAUAAAAUGUGAUAUUAAAAAUUUGCUAAGAUAUGUCUUAUGUCUUUAGUGUAGUCAAAAAGUGCAAACGCUUUUCCUAAGGAUGUGCUGAGUUUAUAAGAGCUUCAUUUGUUCUGCAGAUUUGACUAUCACCAUGCAUUAGAACCAUGUCUGCAGAACUUGUAUUUAUACAUUCCAAGUAUUCUGUUUUUAAAUCUCAAUGGAAAAAUAAAAGUUUUCUAUUUUGGUCUAUGUAUAUGAAUAAAAUUUGUUUAUGUAUUUGUUUUGUGAACAGCAUUUGUGUGAUACAUGUGUGUUAUGUAGAUGUCAAGAUUUCAUCCAACAUCCAGAAGUGCUAAAAUGUAAACUAACAGCAAACCUCAUACAAGACUCUAUAAGUCUAUAUUGUACACAUGUCCAUUGUCAGAAGCUGAUACAGAUGUUCAUGUAUCUGAUUUUUAGCUUGAUUUCCAGGUUUGUUCCAGUUUUGACAGAAGUUUGAUACAUUUGUAAAAUGAAAUGGAAUACUCAAUGGAUGGAGAACAGACUAUGUUUUUUUUCUGAAUCUGUCAAGAACAAUCAGUUAUAAGAGUAUAAUCAGUGCACUGUCACUAUCAGUUUCAUGGAGGACUUUGUUUCCCAUGUGGAUAUACCUACUACAAGAUUACUGAUUGAUUAACAUUUUCUGUACAUUUUGCAACCGUCAGAGUUUGGAUUAACUAUAAUUUUGCCAAAUACAACAUUAUUACAGUAUAUGAAGGAUAUCCCAUUUUUUUUUCUAGUAGAACAUUUACUGAAUGAAAUGAAUCUAAAGCUUGCUGAUGGUGCAUUGAUUGUAUUUGUCUAGCGUACUGAUAUAUCUUUAUUAUUGAAUUGUGAUGGGUAUAGAAUCAGACAACCUCACAUUUAAUUUUGAUGCAUUUUGCCCACUGUUUUCAACCAAGAUUCGCCUGAAAAGAUGGCAUAUCAAGAGAUUUAUUUGUCUUACAAAUAUGUUUUUGACUGUCAACUUUGGGCUGGAUGCCACGUGCGGUAAAUAAAACCUCUGAAUAUGACGUUUGAAGGCAACAUAGGAGAUGUGUGUACAGAGUGAACAAUGUGCAAUAAACCGUAGCCAAGCUUGUAACUUAUAACGUGUAGAAUUAUUGUUUUGUGUCUCAAGAUAAAAAAAGAAACAAAACAUCUUAUUCAGCUAGUGAAUAGUAGGACAAUUUUAUGUGUAUUUACAUAUUUACUCUCCUAAACGGAUAAAGCAUUGAAUGUCUUGGAAAUAAUUUGAACUUUGUCACAUGAUGUGUAUAUGUCACAUGGCUGUCAUGUGAUGUAUGUUUAUUCAAAGGCUAAUGUGAUUUCAGCUUUUUAAGUUUUUGAUUUAUUGAUGUUGAAUAUGGGGAUUUAUUUAUGAAAUAGAGCAUUUUCUCCCUGUGUAUAAUUGUAUAUUUAUAUAAUAUCAUUAUGAUAGCAACAUCAUUAUUAAACAACUCAUUAAAGUGGU